UACGUAGGGUGCGAGCGUUGCCCCGGAUUUAUUGGGCGUAAAGGGCGCGGUAGGCGGCCUGGCGCGUCGGCCGUGAAAUCUCCCGGCUCAACUGGGAGGGGACGGCCGAUACGGCUGGGCUUGAGCGAGGUAGGGGAGAGUGGAAUUCCCGGUGUAGUGGUGGAAUGCGUAGAUAUCAGGAGGAACACCUACGGCGAAGGCAGCUCGCUGGGACGGUACUGACGCUGAGGAGCGAAAGCGUGGGGAGCGAACAGG
rnacentral:rRNA from 1 species